CAGGUGAAUUUUGGGGUCCCCAGGUGGAUUUUGGGGUCCCUCAGGUGGGAUUUAGGGUCCUCCAGGUGGAUUUUGGGGGUUUUUGGGGUCCCCCAGGUGGAUUUUGGGGUCCCCAGGUGAAUUUUGGGGUCCCCCAGGUGAAUUUUGGGGUCCCUCAGGUGAGUUUUGGGAUCCCCCAGGUGAGUUUUGGGAUUCCCCAGGUGAGUUUUGGGGUCCCCCAGGUGAGUUUGGGGUCCUCCAGGUGAGUUUUGGGAUCCCCCAGGUGAGUUUUGGGGUCCCCCAGGUGAAUUUGGGACCCCCCAGGUGAAUUUGGGGUCUCCCAGGUGGGUUUGGGAUCCCCCAGGUGAAUUUGGGGUCCCCCAGGUGAGUUUUGGGAUCCCCAGGUGAGUUUUGGGAUCCCCCAGGUGAAUUUGGGAUCCCCCAGGUGAGGUUUGGGAUCCCCCAGGUGAAUUUGGGACCCCCCAGGUGAGUUUUGGGGUCCCCCAGGUGAGGUUUGGGACCCCCCAAAACCCCCAAACCACGCCCGGGGUCGGUCAGGGGUGGGAGGAGUUUAAUGCAGGUGAGUCCAGAUGUGCCCAGGUCAGUCCAGGUGAGCUCAGGUGAGUCCAGAUGUGCCCCAGAUGUGCCCCAGAUGUGCCCAGGUGAGCUCAGGUGAGUCAGUGCAGCAGCUCCAGGCAGCGACAGCCCCGAAAAU
ensembl:lncRNA